rnacentral:rRNA from 1 species
AGAGCGAACGCUGGCGGCAGGCCUAACACAUGCAAGUCGAGCGCCCAGCAAUGGGAGCGGCAGACGGGAUAGUAACACGUGGGAACGUACCUUUCAGUUCGGAACAACCCAGGGAAACUUGGGCUAAUACCGAAUACGCCCGUAAGGGGAAAGAUUUAUCGCUGAAAGAUCGGCCCGCGUCUGAUUAGCUAGUUGGUGGGAUAAUGGCCCACCAAGGCGACGAUCAGUAGCUGGUCUGAGAGGAUGAUCAGCAUCACUGGGACUGAGACACGGCCCAGACUCCUACGGGAGGCAGCAGUGGGGAAUAUUGGACAAUGGGCGCAAGCCUGAUCCAGCCAUGCCGCGUGGAUGAUGAAGGCCCUAGGGUUGUAAAGUCCUUUCGGCGGGGAAGAUAAUGACGGUACCCGCAGAAGAAGCCCCGGCUAACUUCGCGCCAGCAGCCGC